CAGCCAUUGGGAUACAGGCUCCGGGACCCGAGCAUCAUCCUCUCCUGGCUGAAAAUUGUAAUUAUGACUCCCUCGUCCUCCUCCUCCGAGGCCGACUAGGCCAACAGGGUCUGGCUGAUCCAUGACGGCUGCGGCAUGAUCUGGGCCAUCAUGUCAUGGCGUCUGGUCGUCUAUGCAGACUUCCUGGUGACUUUGCCAUGCUGCUGCCUUCCAAAGACUUUUGUACUCUGUGGUCAACCGGGUCACCUUUAACUGCUUGGCCGCGCUCGCCCUUUCCUCCCACCUG
rnacentral:lncRNA from 1 species